rnacentral:pre_miRNA from 1 species
AACUUACUCCCUCCGUCCGGAAAUACUUGUCAUCAAAAUGGACAAAAAUGGAUGUAUCUAAAACUAAAAUACAUCUAGAUACAUCUUUUUUUAUUCAUUUUGAUGACAACUAUUUCCGGACGGAGGGAGUAGCUA